AAACACAUCAGCUAACAUCAAUGGAAGCAGAUGCAGAAUCUAAAAUAAUGUGUUGAGCUUUACUAAAAAACCAAAGAAUUCUCUCCCAAACCCAUAAUUGAUAAUUCAAUUCACUACUAUCAAAACAUGUGAGCCUAUAAGGGGGAUGAGAUCAACCAAUACUUGAUAAUUCAAUGCAAACACCAACCAUAUCAGUCAUACGGUGAGCAUAAAACUGACCAGAGGGGACGAGACUCGAGAGU